UCCCUGGUAGCUCAGUUGGUAAAGAAUCUGCCUGUAAUGCAGGAGACCCUGGUUUGAUUCCUGGGUGAGGAA
rnacentral:tRNA from 1 species